CUUCGGCCCGAGUUGUAAUUUGCAGAGGAUGUUUAUGGUGCGGUACCUUCCGAGUUCCCUGGAACGGGACGCCACAGAGGGUGAGAGCCCCGUCUGGUUGGAUACCAAACCUGUGUUAAACUCCUUCAACGAGUCGAGUAGUUUGGGAAUGCUGCUCUAAAUGGGAGGUAAAUCUCUUCUAAAGCUAAAUACCGGCCAGAGACCGAUAGCGCACAAGUAGAGUGAUCGAAAGAUGAAAAGCACCUUGAAAAGGGGGUUAAACAGUACGUGAAAUUGUUGAAAGGGAAGCGUUUAUGACCAGACUUGUGCCGUGUGGCUCAUCCGAGGUUCUCCCCGGUGCACUCCACACGGCUCAGGCCAACAUCGGUUCUUGUUGGGGGAUAAGAAUAGUAGGAACGUGGCUCCCUUCGGGGAGUGUUAUAGCCUAUUAUACGAUACCCUGGCGGGGACCGAGGACCGCGCUUCGGCUAGGAUGUUGGCGUAAUGGUCAUUAGCGACCCGUCUUGAAACACGGACCAAGGAGUCGUCCAUUAGAGCGAGCGUUUGGGUGUAAAACCCGCACGCGUAAUGAAAGUGAAAUUAGGUGAGAGCUUCGGCGCAUCAUCGACCGAUCCUGAAGUUUACGGAUGGAUUUGAGUAAGAGUUUUAACGGACGGACCCGAAAGACAGUGAACUAUGCUUGAAUAGGGUGAAGCCAGAGGAAACUCUGGUGGAGGCUCGCAGCGGUUCUGACGUGCAAAUCGAUCGUCAAAUUUGAGCAUGGGGGCGAAAGACUAAUCGAACUGUCUAGUAGC
rnacentral:rRNA from 1 species